CCUACGGGUGGCAGCAGUGAGGAAUAUUGGUCAAUGGGCGCGAGCCUGAACCAGCCAAGUAGCGUGAAGGAUGAAGGCCCUACGGGUUGUAAACUUCUUUUAUAAAGGAAUAAAGUGAGGCACGUGUGCCUUUUUGUAUGUACUUUAUGAAUAAGGAUCGGCUAACUCCGUGCCAGCAGCCGCGGUAAUACGGGGGAUCCGAGCGUUAUCCGGAUUUGUUGGGGUUAAAGGGAGCGGAGAUGGGUCGUUAAAUCAGUUGGGAAAGUUUGGGGGUCAACCCUAAAAUUGCCAUUGAUACUGGCAGUCUUGAGUACAGUUGAGGUAGGCGGAAUGCGUGGUGUAGCGGUGAAAUGCAUAGAUAUCACGAAGAACUCCGAUUGCGAAGGCAGCUUACUAA
rnacentral:rRNA from 1 species